AGUUGGUUUCCUUCUGAGAACUGUUUUCAUAUUCGCUUCUCACAAAAAGAAUUAAAAUUGCUCUUUUGUUAGAAUCCGUGGUUUUUAUAAAGCAUGCUCCCCUCUAAGGAAACUGCUGCAAACCCACAUGUUCAAAACCAGAACAUCGUUUUUCCUUAUUAGAGCAUAUUAUUAGCCCAUGUAAUCUCUGGAUUGUAACUAAUUAAUGUAGCUACAGCUAAUUAUUGAGUUAGCUACAGGUGAGAAGGAGCUUACUUUAAAUGAGAUUUUUGUUUAAUGGGAAUGGAUUCUCCAUAUGGCAUGUCUUUUCAUCCAGAAUUACUUACCAAGAACUGGAUAUUGUAGCGAUGUAGGUCGUGUUUUCUUUCAAUUUGUUUUGGGGUAUUUAUUCCAAAUUUAAUGUGCAAAACCUAACUCUGGUUGACUGUUCAGGAGCAAAAAGUGCUAUUCGGGUGUUUUACAAGGAUUCUUAAAUGUAAGAAACUUGCAGUGGUACACUCUCGCCAUAACAUCAGUGUCACAAUUUGAAGCUAAAUUUAGUCAUAAACAUCCUUUAUUGGUUCAUCCAAAUGCAGACAAAUAGUUUUCCCACUUAUUAUGGGAACAAUAUUAUUUACUUGCUAUCUUCUUGUUAUACAUUCUUUCCUUUUUUUUUUCCCCUCAAGAUAAAAUGAAGAUCUUUUGGUUAGCAACUACAGUAAAAUGUGAGUGAUGUAUUUGCGAGAGUUGCUGUUUGCCAAGUACAUUGCUGUACCAAAAGUACUGUUUGUUAUGACAUUGUACUUAGUCACUUGUUGAUGCUAUUUGAGGGAGAGAACUUAGUUAAAGAAGCUGGAACAGGAUGUUCAUUUUAUUUCAGUAUUUAUAAUCCUGAGUCAUCUCUUGAUAGCUGAUGAAAUACAGCAACUCACAUUUUAGACAGGGCUUCUCCUAACAUAAUUUGGGGAUGCUGUAAUUUGAUAGAGGGUGGAAAAACAGAGCUGAUUUUAUGCAGAGAGGUUUAUUUUAGUUGUCACUCUCUGCUGAAGCACUCUUAAACUUUGCACAUCUGCGGCACUUUACCAUGUCUUUAAAUAUGUUGUAGUUGGGGUGAAAUAAGAGCUGAUGUGGAGACAGCAUAUGGCUGGGCAGGCACUGGGGCUUUGGGGACUCUGUCUCAAGUAUGUGGAGAUCAGUUACAUUGAUUUUUGGUUCAUCAUUUUGGCUGCCUUGUGGUUUGCUCCCACUGCAAAAAUAGGAAGUCUAGAGGCGUUUGGUUGUGUGCAUGGCUAGUAAGGAAGCAAAGGGAAAGUUAUUUCUCAUGUAAGAGGUUGAAUUCAGAUUGUAGGUGAAAUUUUGGAUGUGAUUUUAUUCAAGCCUGCUCAGCUGUGGGACUAUGACUAUUAAGGCGACUAUCAGACUAGUAUGAACCAUUGAAUGUGUAUUAUUAUUUCCUGUACGAAAUUAUUAAUGAUGGUAGAAUUCUGAAUUUGAGCAUAUUCCUUCUUAGGAGCAGAAAGGCCUUUCAAAAUAAUUUGCAUGUUUCACUUCAGCCUCACUUCAGAGUAGCAGGCAGCAAAUCUCUGAAAGCACAGAGUACUUAUGGGCCGAAAAUAAAGAAUGCUGACUCUAUUUAAAGCUGUGGAAAGAAUUUAUGUUGGAAGAAUGUAGUUAUUAGAUUUGGAAUCUGACCAGGAUGUACGAUACUGCUUUAAGUGAGGGAAAACAUAGGGUGAAUGUUGAUCAGAGGCUAAAAGGAUGUAUUUUCACUAUUAAUUUGGAUACAUGUCCAGCAGCACAGUUACUGUUCUUGGUACCAAGGUGACAAGCUGGCUUGGAAAGCAAAAAGAUACACCUCAUCUCAUGCAGUUGUUGGUUUUCUUUUGGGAUCCUGUGGAUCCAGGAUAGCCAGGUUUGGUCUGGCAUUGGUACAGCACUGUGCCUGUCCAAAGGCUUCUCCUUCCACCCUUUCACCUCCUGACAUUCCCACGAAAUGCAUAUAGGCAGGCAGCAGAGCAGCAAAGGAGGCUCCUUCACCCCUUAAUAGGAAAGUACAAUGAAUACAGAGAACAUAGGUAAAACUGUGCAAUUAAAUUAGCUGCCGUCAAGUAGUGAAAUAUAUUCAUCCCUUCUGGCACUGUGGCUAAUUUAUAUUUAAAGCAGUAUGAAUUUCAUGAGCAUUUUAAAAAAUCAUAUUUUAAAUUCAAUUUGCUGUCAGCUCAUUUGAUGUUUUGUGUAAAGUCAUUUCCUGUAAACAGGUUAUUGAAUAUCAAAACACUUGUCUCAUACAUAAUUUUUGGAAAGAAAUAAUAUUAUAAUAAAGAUGAGAAUCUGGCCCUCAUGUGAGUUGCCAAGCACUUUCUGAUCACUGCAGUUCUUUGGUGCUUGCUUUAUCACAGUCAGGGGAGUGUCCUGGGCAAGGACCAGGCAACAAUAGUAAUUGUUUUCUAGCUACAGUAGGUUAUUCUGCAAUUACAGAAUCAUAGGAGCAUAGAAUGGUUUGGGUUGGAAAGGACCUUAAGAUCAUCUAGUUCCAACCCCCCUGUCAUGGGCAGGGACACCUCACACUAAACCAUGUCACCCAAGACUCCCUCCAACCUGGCCUUGAACCCUGCCAAGGAUGGAGCAAUCACAAUCUCCCUGGGCAACCCAUUCCAGUGCCUCACCUCCCUAACAGGAAAGAAUUUCCUCCUUAUAUCCAAUCUAAACUUCCCCUGUUUAAGUUUUAACCCGUUAUCCCUUGUCAUAUCACAACAGUUCCUAAUGAAGAGUUCCUCCCCAGCAUCCUUGUAGGCCCCAAAUAACUACUGAUAUAUAUGAAGAAAGAGUUCAGUGUAUUUUUUUCCAAAUAUCAAAAAGAGAGUUGGAAGAAAAUGGAUUAAAAUACCUGAAAUCUGACAGUUGUACAGCUCAUGCAGAGUAAUGGCCUGGGUAAUAUUAAUAGAUAUGUUGAAAAGCUAAGACAUGUUUGUUAUGAACUGUUGAAGAAAUAACUGCUGUAUUUUAGCAUGGGAUUCUUACCUGUGCAUGGAGAUUGCUGUCAUUUGGCAGAUGCUGUGUAAUGUAAAACUGAGCAUCAAAGCUGCUAUGAAGCUGAAUCCUUUGAAAGAAGAAAUAAAUUGGCUUCUGGAUGCCACCAAUUUCUCCUCCAGUGUGAAUAGUAUACCCUGGGUGAUUUGUAUGUUAUUUCCAUUAGGGAAGGAAGCUCCACUUAAAAGCAAAGCAUCAAAACGCCCUAGAAAGGCACUUCUGAGCUUGAGGCAACUCAGCUGAAGCCACUGAAGCAUUUUGGAAGCAGAACCAUCAUGUCCCACCUCUGAACCUGCCUGGGGCCCUUCUCUGGUUGUCUCUGAGGCUGAGGGCAGCAAAAAGCUGAGUGGAUGCUUGAUGAAGACUUGAGGACAGGCUGACUCAGAAGCAUCCUGGCUCCCAUCAUUGCCACUGUACAGAACAGGAGGUGCAGUGCUGAAGGUAUGUCAUUCCUGAUUUGUUCAACCUGCUCUUAUCAGCAUCUGAUGAUGGAGACUCUUCAGCCUCGCUGAGCAAUCAUGCUAUGCUUUGUGGUGACUACUGUUAAACAUCCCCUCAGCCAUUCUAAUGUUCACUCUACCCCUUUGACAUCUGAAGUCAUUACAUUUCCCCUUCCUUUAGGGAGAUAAUACCUAGUUUUGGCAAGUCCUCCUUGUAUCCGGCCGUUAGUUAUGCUUUCCUUCAACCUUCUCUUUGUGCAGGAAGAGUGAGAGAAUUGUGACAAAUGCAUGAUGUCAUAUUUUCUGUUCCUUUGACACACUUGGCUCUCUCCUGCUGGCCUGUAGCUUUCCAAAUGCAGUAUUUCAGCCAAGGUCUAAGGACUUGCUGGGUUUGCUGUUAUUGUUACACCAUGGGGAUUUCUUAUAGAUACUGCAUUUUAUGAUGUAAGUCUCUUUGCAGCAGCAUAACUCUGACACAUAUUCAUUUGAUGAUUACUUACAAGCAUCCCAGAAGCACUCCUGUGCCACUGCCUUGCCCUUCCCUGUUUCAUACAUGUGCUUAUCCUUAGUAAGUGUAGGCCACUGAAUUUUUCUUCACUAGGUUGCAAACUGAGUUACAUUUUUUAGACUUACAUCUUCAAAACUGUUUGUUCUCCUGGUUUGUCAUGAUCAUGUUCAUUCUAGCUGUCUUCAAACCUCCUUAAAGCUUUUGUCAUCUGCAUAAUUAGUAAGCAUGUUCUCUACCAUCAUCCAAAUUAUUUAUAAAAGUGUUCACAUCACCCAAGACAGAUCAUCAUGGAAAAUAUCCUUCCAAUCUGACAGUGAACCACUGAUACUGCUCUCUGAGGGCAGAGUGUCUUCUGCACUCUAAGUCAUGUCUUUUUUUUAUGAUUAUGUCUGCAAACAAAGCCUUGCUGAAGGCAAAAUAUAUAUCAUCACUCUCUUUUCUAGUAAGUGGAGCACAAGAUCAUCACUUCUUUUUGCCCAGAGAAGCUGCGGCUGCCCCAUCCCUGGCAGCGUUCAAGGCCAG